AAUCAAUGAAGCAGUAUAAUCUAAUUAUUUAUAUAAAUGCCGCUAAUACAGUUGCUUAGUGACGAUUUUCAUUUAUAAUGACUGAUACUGACAUAUACUGAUUCGUAUUUUCUCAACCAUAAUUAUGUGGUGGUAAGAAAGUUUUAUUGUAAAAUUAUAAAUUAAAAUGUUAAGAAAGUGUUUGUUAUUAUAAGUUAUUAAAUAUCAUUAUAGUGCAUGCAAAAUUUGCCAU